rnacentral:rRNA from 1 species
AUUGAACGCUGGCGGCAUGCCUUACACAUGCAAGUCGAACGGCAGCACGGGUGCUGCACCUGGUGGCGAGUGGCGAACGGGUGAGUAAUAUAUCGGAACGUACCUUAUUGUGGGGGAUAACGCAGCGAAAGCUGUGCUAAUACCGCAUAAUCCCUAAGGGGGAAAGCGGGGGACCGUAAGGCCUCGCGCAAUUAGAGCGGCCGAUGCCUGAUUAGCUAGUUGGUGAGGUAAAGGCUCACCAAGGCAACGAUCAGUAGCUGGUCUGAGAGGACGAUCAGCCACACUGGGACUGAGACACGGCCCAGACUCCUACGGGAGGCAGCAGUGGGGAAUUUUGGACAAUGGGGGCAACCCUGAUCCAGCAAUGCCGCGUGAGUGAAGAAGGCCUUCGGGUUGUAAAGCUCUUUUGUCAGGGAAGAAACAGCAGUUCUAACACAGUAUGCGAAUGACGGUACCUGAAGAAUAAGCACCGGCUAACUACGUGCCAGCCGCCGCCGUAA